GAUUGAAGUGAAGAAGAUGUGUGCGCUCUGAACCCCUGAAGCAUGAGCCUCACUCCGUCCAACAGAAGGUGGUGCUGAGAUCUGCAGAAGCCAAAUGAGGAAAUUAUGAUGAAAUAUUUGACCUACAUCGGGAAAUGUCAAUUAAAAUAAGGUACACUUGCCUGAUGCAUAUGGAGACUGAAGUAGCAGUAAUUUUCCAGCUUCUCGUUCUACUAGUUACCAACCAGCUCUACGAGCAAAAACAUCUGGGAAGCCAGAUACCAUUGGUAGAACAGGUUUUGUUUCUUUUUAUUUCCAGAAGUGCUCUAAAAUUCAUGCUCCGAAAAUCGCCAGAGGAAAAGAAUACGGGUUUGUAGGUAUGUAUUAGCAAAGCGAGCAAACUUCAUACCUUUUCAUGCUAGCAAGACGCAGAUAAUUCUCAGACAGCAGAAUUAGCUCCUGAAAAGCCAAUGAGAAAAAGAAAAAUGAUGUCAGUUGAAUCUCAUUUCCCCAUAGAAAAUAUUAACAAAGGCUUUUGUUACUGACAAAAUUUUCAAAAAUUAAUAGCAAACAAUAUCUCUAUACUAAUGUAUUCUUAGAAAUUAUGUCUACCAAAGGCAGAACAAUAUAGUAACCAGUGAAUAUAUCUUAUUUAUGUUUAUGGCGUAUUAGCAAUGCAUUGGUGAUUAGAGUUUCAUGACAGGCUUCUUGAGACUCCUUUUUGCACACAUUUAGAAACAUUUCAUAAUUUUUGAGAAAAUUUCUGACGUUUGUCUUCCUGCUUGUUUUCAGUGAAAAUCUCUCUUUCACAAGAAAAGGCAUUAGAGAUAAAUUUCUUGAUUUUCCCCUGUGUUUGAUCUCCAUACAACUGACAUCCUUGUUUACGUGAUGGCUUCAGCAAGGAUUGGUCUCUCACCUCUCUGUCUGAUGCAUGGAGCACACUCCAUUUCUUUCCAAGGAUCAAAGCUCUGUUUUGCAACCUUGCGGAUUUUGUAUCUGUCCAGGGGAGUCAUAGUUGUGGCAACUCAUGGAGAAGAGAAAAAAGGAAGUGAACACAAACACACACAUGAACAAACUGGGGGGCCGUCUUGCAGAAACAUUGGAAACUGGCAAAACAAAGUUGAUUGGCAAAACAAAGAAGAGGAAUGGAGUGGGAAUGAAGGGGGUUUUCGAGUAGGAGGUGAGGAGAGAUGGUCAGAUAUCACGUUUCCCAAACCAGAGACAUUAAAUUCAAGUUGAGCAGCCAUGAGAACCAUAGCCACAAAAAGUUCUGACACUGCUGGAGCACUGAUGAAGUCAAAGCGCAGAAACUCUGAUGGGACCUUGGUAUAUCAGUUGAUGUUUUAGAAACAAGUAUUUUCAGCAUAGAACUUCUAUUGAAGGCUUAGCUCUAUGCUUCCUUGAAAAUAAUAUCAAUUUAGAGUCAUAGAUUAGAAUCUAAUAAGACUCUGCCUUGACCUCUGACCUUCCAGAAAUUUCUUCACCUUAUCUCUUUAUCUUCUGGACGUUGCCUUGUUUCCCUUUAUUCCAGUUUACAUGCCUCCCUCCCCCUCCUCAGUUGUUCAUCAUUCGUGGCCUCAUGGAACAGAGGGAGAAGUUUUCUGGCCUAAAAGAAGUUUGCUGUGCAAAGAUCCUGAGCCCCAGACUUUCAUAAAGUCAUCCAACAAUGAACUACAAGUAUCAUAUCAACUUUUGCACAAACGUCAAUUAUUUCUUUGGGGAACCUAGGGCUAUUUUAGGGAAACCACACAUGGUAGAUCCUUUUCUCCUAAGUCCUUUCUCAGGUUAGAAAAUUAGUUUGAUUAAAAACUGAGAAGCACCACAAAUUAAGGGAAAGCAUACAAUCCUGCAAUUAACAUGCUCUCAAUAAAGGUUCAUUUCCUCAACUUUCCCUUCUGUCC
rnacentral:lncRNA from 1 species